GUGGGGAAUCUUGCGCAAUGGGCGAAAGCCUGACGCAGCCAUGCCGCGUGAAUGAUGAAGGUCUUAGGAUUGUAAAAUUCUUUCACCGGGGACGAUAAUGACGGUACCCGGAGAAGAAGCUCCGGCUAACUUCGUGCCAGCAGCCGCGGUAAUACGAAGGGGGCUAGCGUUGCUCGGAAUUACUGGGCGUAAAGGGCGCGUAGGCGGACAGCUUAGUCAGAGGUGAAAGCCCAGGGCUCAACCUUGGAAUUGCCUUUGAUACUGGCUGUCUUGAGUUUGGGAGAGGUGAGUGGAACUCCGAGUGUAGGGGUGAAAUUCGUAGAUAUUCGGAAGAACACCAGUGGCGAAGGCGACUCACUGGCCCAAUACUGACGCUGAGGCGCGAAAGCGUGGGGAGCAAACAGGAUUAGAAACCCUAGUAGUCC
rnacentral:rRNA from 1 species